rnacentral:rRNA from 1 species
CCUACGGGUGGCAGCAGUGGGGAAUAUUGCACAAUGGGGGAAACCCUGAUGCAGCGACGCCGCGUGAGUGAAGAAGUAUUUCGGUAUGUAACGCUCUAUCAGCAGGGAAGAUAAUGACGGUACCUGAGUAAGAAGCCCCAGCUAACUACGUGCCAGAAGCCGCGGUAAUACGUAGGGGCCACGCGUUAUCUGGCUUUACUGGGUGGAAAGGGAGCGUAGACGGCAUGGCAAGUCUGAAGUGAAAGCCCGGGGCUCAACCGGGGAACUGCUUUGGAAAAUGUUAGGCUGGAGUGCAGUAGAGGUGAGUAGAAUUCCUGGUGUAGCGGUGAAAUGCGUAGAUAUUAGGAGGAACACCAGUGGCGAAGGCGGCUUACUGGACUGUAACUGACGUUGAGGCUCGAAAGCGUGGGGAGCAAACAGGAUUAGAUACCCCAGUAGUC